AGCCAUAUCGCCUGAAAAACAAUAUUAGUUACCUCUGGGUUUCUGAAUACUGUUUGAUAUUUUCGGUAAAUAUUCUGCAUAAUAUGAAUGCUCUAAUAUUUGUACUGAAAGGGAAGGUUAUGGCGACUUACCUUAUAUGUUUCUAUUCCAUCGCAUGAAUAAGGAUUGGUAAAUAGUUGAAAAUAGGUUGGAACAAUAUAUUUUGUAAAUAUUCGUAAACAAGGUUAAGAGACAGCUGUUGGUUGACAUCUGCCGAACUUUCGUAGUGUCGUUCCGUCGACUUACACCGAACUAGUUCUACAGUUGUUCACGGGUGAGGGAUUGAUCGGUUACUCAAGUUGUCAAGGGUUGUUUUAGGGUUGCAUUGCUUUGAGAAGGAGUUUUGAUGGGUCAUGGACUUGUUGAUGAUGUAUCAAGUGGCUGUGGAGGAAUUGUUAGAUUUAUGAUGUUGUGCACAGCGCCCCCUUGGUGCUUGUAGUGUAGAUUGGAUGCACUGUGGCAACAACUGGUUAGCUGUCAGAUGUGGCAUUCUCUUAGUAUUUGGAAGUUAGCCUUCGGUGAGCUUGGUUCGGAGUUCAAAGGGUAUCAUCAGACUGAUUGUAGGAUAUAUUUGGUUGUAUUUGUGCCAUCCUUCACGGGGAUUAUUUCUACAAGUCAGGAUUGUAUAGUGGAAGACUGAUUGGUCAUUUUGGUGUGGAUAUUUGCAGUCGGAAACUUAAGCUCUUUUGAGGAUUUGUGGUGGAUACCGAACUCGUGCCAGGUGGAAGGAUUUCCGAAAUUAGAUUCAUAAGAAACAGAAGGCCCUCAGUCACUCAUCAAGUCCCAGCAGGACUUCCGUGCAGAACACCGCACACGAAGAAUCGUAUAGAAAACCCCUUGGCCAGGGGUUUUUCUUCCUGCUUUUCUUCCUGCUUGUUUUUGUCUUCGUCAAGGGUUCCUGUUUUCCUUUAUUUUCUUUCUGGAUCUUAUUUGGUGAUCCAUUACUGGUCCAGCUUGUCGUGCCCUACAGGGUGAUCUAUCUUGGUGGUGCUACAGGGUGAUCCAUCUCCGGUGCUACAGGGUGAUCCAUCUCCGCCAUACUACAGGGUAGCCUAACACCAUAUACCGGGUGGCCCAAAAGGAGCACGCAAGUUAUAAUUGAUUUAAUUGAAUAUUUGUGAUAUACUGAGAUAUUUGAAUAAUUGUUGCCCUUAUGUUUAUUGAUACCUGUUGAUAUAGUGUUUGUUUAUCGUUUAUUGAUUAAGAGUUUGUUAUUGAUACCUGAUUGACAUAGAUAUUUGUGAAACGGAAAUUGAGGUAUAUUCUUCCUUUCACGAUUGCUGAUUGACACCGAUGCGCCUACGCCUGAGCUCACGCGACGCAAACGAGUUUGUCUUACCAUCCGAUACUAGUAUUUACGAUUUCACCUACUCAAUUUUCGUGGUAGUUUUACUCGACGUAUUGUAGUUUUUUUGAGCGUCGUUACUACCGUAAUUUAUGGU